rnacentral:rRNA from 1 species
AGAGUUUGAUCCUGGCUCAGGAUGAACGCUAGCGGCAGGCUUAAUACAUGCAAGUCGUACGGGAUCCGAGAUAGCAAUAUCUUGGUGAGAGUGGCGCACGGGUGCGUAACACGUAUGCAACCUACCUUUAACCGGGACACAACCUCGAGAAAUUGUGGCUAAUAUCCCAUAACACUGCGAAGUGGCAUCACUUUGCAGUUAAAACUCCGGUGGUUAUAGAUGGGCAUGCGCGACAUUAGCUAGUUGGUGAGGUAACGGCCCACCAAGGCUACGAUGUCUAGGGGUUCUGAGAGGAUUAUCCCCCACACUGGUACUGAGACACGGACCAGACUCCUACGGGAGGCAGCAGUAAGGAAUAUUGGUCAAUGGGCGCAAGCCUGAACCAGCCAUGCCGCGUGAAGGAUGACGGCCCUAUGGGUUGUAAACUUCUUUUGUACGGGAAAAAACCACCGGUCGUGUAUCGGUGCUGAUGGUACCGUAAGAAUAAGCAUCGGCUAACUCCGUGCCAGCAGCCGCGGUAAUACGGAGGAUGCAAGCGUUAUCCGGAUUCAUUGGGUUUAAAGGGUGCGCAGGCGGAAUAAUAAGUCAGUGGUGAAAGCCUACAGCUUAACUGUAGAACUGCCAUUGAUACUGUCAUUCUUGAGUAUUGUUGAGGUAGGCGGAAUGUGUCAUGUAGCGGUGAAAUGCUUAGAUAUGACACAGAACACCGAUCGCGAAGGCAGCUUACCAAGCAAUAACUGACGCUCAUGCACGAAAGCGUGGGGAUCAAACAGGAUUAGAUACCCUGGUAGUCC